AACAUUAGUCUGUACUGUUUAUUCUACAGAAGAAACAUUGAUGACAAACAGUAUGAGAAGGUCACAGAAAAAGUGCUGAAGUCAUUGUUCAAAGAAAGGAGCAGCCCCCUUCUGUGGGAGACCAUGACACAGCUGUGUAUCCUGAGGGAAGAUGGGAGAGAUGCUUUCUCAGCAAAAGUAGAGACCAGAAAGACAGAUGGAGUCGGAUACCAGCAUGUAGCACAGAACACUCCAUGUUCGUGCUGAGAAGUUGUUGAACCCUAGCCGCUGUCUGACCACUGGGGUUUGUUUGUUUGUUUUUAACUCAGCUAUGACCACAGACAAAGGGACUCACAGGUAGGAUGUACCAGGCAUGGCAAGCGCAGCUAAAGCAGCCAAAGAACAGAACACGUGACCACACCUGGCAGAAGGCUCAGUCUGCCAAGACCCACGAGAAACACUUGUCCUUCCAUUUUAUCCCGAGGGGAGAAACUUAAGACCAUGACUGAGACAGUCACAAGCUCACCACGUUUGCAGCGCUGACACAUGCCUGAUGACUCCGUCCCCUUGCCACUGUUAAAUGCUGCACCUUCCCUAAGCAAUGGCAGGAAAAAUGUCUUUAAACAUUGCUAACUACGUGUGUGUGGACAAAAUGAAGUCAAAGUACUUGAAAAACAUAGACUUAAAAGAUUUGUAUCUGUUUUAUUUAGGGUUUAAACACUAACAAAACAAAAAACAACAGCCAGAAUGAUCACAUGAAACCUGGCCCAAGCACUAUGGAACAAAGGACACAGUUCGCUAGACAACACAGGAAAGCCUGUCACCAUGGACCCCCAAUGUCACACCAUGUGUGUGGCUCUGGCCACGCUCUAAGAUUCUGGGUUUUGUCCUGGAAAAUGAGAAUAAUUUAAAGAACUUGUAAGAAUGGAAAGAGAGCACCUGAAAGCAGGUGACUGCUUAAGGAAAGGCCCAUCGUCUGUCAGGAACCUGUGUGGAGAGGCUGGAGCCGGUCUCCCUGCAGAUCCCGAGAGCUCUGUGGAAGGGGUGGCGCUGACCUCCAGCAACCUUUCCAGGCUCACAAUGAUGAGUACUUCCCAGAGCAGCUGGGAAGGCAGGUGACCAGCCGCUCCCUCAACCCGGCUCCAAUAUAUAAGCAUCCACACAUUUCUGCAACACUUGUAAGACGCACGAAAACAUGAACUCAUCAGAAGACUCUUUGGAGUCAAUGACUGGCAACUGUAAAUUGUUUUUUUUUUUUUUUUUCUGAACCUAGCCAGAGAUAUACUGGAAACUUAGUUAGAUGUGCUAUUUCUACAUUACUAGUUACCAACUGACGCACACAUGCCCACUGAUUCCAUAUAACAAAACAACAAAAACAAAAACAAAACACCUACUCUGGCUUGCUUAUAAGCAGACCUGUAACUCUGAAAAACCUCCUAGAGCUCCUGAUGCAGUCUUGCCCAUUGGCCAGGGGGCGGCAGUAUUGUGUCAAAAACAUAAACACUUCCACAACUAUAGCAAAACAAAGGUAGAGUCAAAUGAAAGAAAAAGUGAAGGGAUGGAAGGUCAGUCGAUUCCUAGGGUCUCUCCAUGUUUAUAACUGUAUGUCUCCCACAGAACAGGACCAACACACAAAAUGUAACUACAGUGUGUCUGUCUCUUCACUGACUUUACUUAGUGUUACCAUCCGAAGGGUUACAUCUUCUCUGGAGGACACUGCUACUGCAGCAGGAGCUCUCAGGUCAAAGGCCACAGCACACUGGGGGUUGCUGGACAUUAAUAAUGGGAAGGCCUCCUCUGAUUCCUACUCUUUAUAAGUUAACAACUUGCUCAAAAACACCAAAAACUAAAACCAAAAAAUAAAUCCAGGAAUCAUAUGGCUUACCAAACUCCCUGGGUCUGAAUCCUUGUUACAAUGCCCUAAGCUCCAACUCUGCAAAUAGCACACAGCCUCAGCUUUCCGUGCCGCCCUCACUGGCUGGGAAAACUGGGUCCAUUCCUAUGAAAGCUGUCGCUAUUCUGCAGACACAGGCUUUCCUUUUCUCAGACUCAAGGCUCUGGAGCUGUGGGCUUCAUCACUUUAAGAACUCUAAGAUGGGCUGGAGAGAUGGCUUAGCGGUUAAGAAUACUGACUGCUCUUCCAGAGGUCCUGAGUUCAAAUCCCAGCAACCACAUGGUGGCUCACAACCAUCUGUAAUGGGAUCUGAUUCCCUCUUGUGUGUCUGAAGACAGCUACAGUGUACUUACAUACAUAAAUCUAAUUAAUUCCAGGAGCAGAUCAAGUGUUUCUAACAGUGUGCUCACUAUUUAUUUACUAUUGAUACAACUGAACACAAACAUAAACCUCACAUAAAUUUAUCACCUUCACUAAGUCCCGAACUAAGAAGAGACACUUCCAGGAUGAAGGUACCCUGGGCAGUAUUUCUGAAGAAAAAAAGACACAGUAGGAAGUAAAGACUUUCCCAUUCACUAUCUGAGAUUCAGACAAAAAUGAAGGUCAGGAGGUCAGACACCACAGAGCUAAGCAACCCACCAAAGACAGGUAUGGCUAUUUGCUGGGUUGGGCGAGGGGUGUGUGCCCACAGGCUAUCACUGGACUUACUGUUCUUCAACUCUUUGUCCUGUUUCCACUGCCAAGUGCAAGCCUGCAGGUGCAUGGCAUGAUGCUUGGCUGUGUUGUCCUUAAUAGUAAAGACACAUGGAUGGCAUAUACGCAAAGAGAUUUGAAAUGUGAGACAAACACAGCAAAGUAAGGCCAUCUGCCACUCACAGCAUUCUUGACUGGCAUGGUUAAUACGCGGUAUCUUGAGUGGCUAAAGGAUAGACAGCAAUGUACUUCAGCUGUGAGUGUCUGUACAGGUACCUUUGGAGGCCAGUGAGUGAGUGACCUUAACAAUGGCAGUGUGAACCCAUCAGCUUAAGGCCUGUACAAAAUAAGUGCAAAGCAAAGGCCAAUCCUGGAGCUGAGAGGGUGGUGACCUCAGCUCCACAGCAUCUACAGCUUCUGACUCUCAAGUCCCCAGAGCCGCUGAGCUAUGCUACUCGCUUCCCCAGGUCUCCAGUGUGCAGGGGGCCCAAGGUAAAACCUCAUUACUUCCAUAAUGGUGGGAGCCAUCCCUACCACACCCUGCCCUACCCACUUCUUAUUGGUUCUGUCUCUCUGGAAGAUACUGACUAAUGUACUAAAUUAAACACAGGCUUUGAAAAAGUCCAAACUUUGGGCUGUGAGGCUCAAUUUUACAGGAUAAGCAACUAAAAAGUAAUUCCCAUAUAAAUAUUAUGUUUACUCCAGGAGCUACAGUCAUACCAGAUAAACAUAAUCACAAAUUUUCUAUUUGAUCCAUAGAAUCUCUCCCAUUACAGGGAGAGAAAAUGUUUUGUUCACAAUCAACUUAGUAGGAAGCUGCUUGGUUUCCCUAAGUUUCCACCAAAGCUUGACUAUUUUAAGAACUUCUUUUAUCAAAACUCAAGCUUUAACAAGUUUAAAUUUGCCAUCUUAUUAAUAACUGAGCGGCAGUUGACAGUAAUGGUGACACCCAAGUAGAGGAACAAAGAGGGAAGUCACAGGACUCCCUAACACCAGCUACGGGGUGUAAAGCAGAGGUGGAGAGUUGGGGUUCUGCCUGAGAAUGGACACACAGGCUCAGACAUUGGAAGGUCCGGUUCCCAGUGGGUGGAUGGUUUAGGAAGGGUUAGUAGGUGUGGCCUUCUUGGAGGUGUGUCACUGGGGUUGGGUCUAGCCUCUGCCCCCCUCUGAUACAGUACACAGCACCCCCUCAGCUACUGUCCAGUGCCGUGCCUGCUAUCGCCGUGGACAACCCUCUGAAACUGUUUCAAGCAAGAACUCUGUAGAUGGCAAUAUCAUAGCCAAAUGCCAAGGGCUGGAUAUACCUGUCACACAAAACUCUCUACCUAUAAGAAGACUGAAUCAGAACCCCAAAUACAGCUGUCUCGCCUUGUUUGCUCAGCUGAGGCUCAGCUUGUUCAAGAAACCUCUCAAAGAUUCCAUUCAUCCUGGAAACUAUGACCUAACACAGUCAUUGUGGUAAGUAUCCCAUAUGAACAUGAAAAGAACGUGCAUUUGAGCAGCUGUUAGAAAGAAAUAUGACACUUGGCUGCACACACCUUUAAUCAAAGCACACGGGAGGCAGAAGCAGGGUGAUCUCGUGAGUUCGAGGCCAGCCUGGUCUACAAAGGGAGUUCCAGGACAGCCAGGGUCUGUUACACAGAGAAAGCCUGUCUUGAAAAACAAAACAAAACAGAAAGGAAGAAAGAAAAAAAAUAUGACACUUUGCAAAUGACAAGUAGUCAAAUGAAGCUACUAUUCAAUACUCCGCGACUACUCUCCAACAGCCUGUAUUGUCACUGAUCUGAACGCCCACUGCAGAAGAUAUGCUGGAAUCUUUGCAAUUGUCUAAAUACCCAUCAUCAGUAGAAUUAGGACAAAUUGUAUCGUAUCCUUAUGAUACAACAAGGAAAGAAAAUCAACAUACAACAUGGAUGAACUUCACAAAGAUACACAAGCAAGCACGCAAUUCUCCUAGCAGAUGCUGUUCCAAGUGAGCAGUGCCAGUCUGCAAAGAACGAAGAGAGACAGGCCCAGGGGACGCAGUGAGUGGUCAAAGGAAAGACAAGACCACACUGGAAAGACAAAGUGAGACGGAGGAGGAGGAGGAGGAGGAGGAGGAGGAGGAAGAGGAGGAAGAGGAGGAAGAGGAGGAGGAGGAGGCAGCAACAUGCACAGAAAACUGAGAAAAAAGAGUAGCCUUCAAAAGCCCCAGAGUCAUGACAAUUGGAAAAAGAAUGUUCAAGGAAGAGGAAGAAAACCGUUUCUCUACAAAGAUACAGAACUGAGGGGACGUGUAUGAACACCAAAGAUUACCCAGCAAUGAUGCAUCAGUGAUGACUGGGAAAACUCCUGAUUUGCACAUUCUGUAACAAGGUAUUUUUAUUUGUGCAUGUGGGGAAAACCCCUUGUAACUUGAGAAUCAUAAGGCAUCAUGUGGCAACUUUUCCUCAAAUAAUUAAGAAGGUAAGUGGUCUUUGUAUUGGACUUGCAACCUUUGUGUAAAUUGGUGUUAGUCAGAUAAAGGACUGGGGAAAUGAAUUCUAAUGAUAAACGCAUGCAUGAUAAAGAUAGCUCAACUACUUAGUACAUGCUGUCAAGAUUAUCAGGAAGUCCUGAGAAAAAGUAAAGCUCUAUUUAUAAUUCACACUCAAUUCCAAAGUUAUUCUGACGCCCUCUUCUGACAUCCACAGGAAGCUACAUAGCCUUGAUAUCAACCCCACCCCACCCCCACCCCACCCCCACCUCAGUAAAAUAAAGCCUUUUAAAAGUGAAACCCUGAGAAAACAUAAAUAAAACAUAAGCCAACAGAGACGGUGCUGUUCAGGUUGGCAAAGUUGCCAGAUGAGAUCAUGUUAGAAAAGCAGACUUCCACAGAGGCACACACCGUGCCCAAAGGCACACACCAUGCACAGAGCCUUGUGGAGGAAACCUGGGUAACAAUGAUCAAAAUAACAAGUACACUCAUCGGCUGCCUCCCCAACAAUAUCACUCAUGGCAACUUAUUCUAAAAGUAUUUUUAAAUAUAUUUCAUUUUAUGUAUGAGUGUUUGCCUGAAUAUGUGUAUGUGUGUUUAUAUAUACCAUCUAUGUGGAAAGCCCAGAGGCCAGAAGACGAUGCCAGAUCCCCUGGAAUUGGAGUUAUAGGUUGACUGUGAGUCACCCGAUAUGAGUGCUGGAAACUGAGUCCAGGUCCUCUCUGCAAGAGCAGCGAGUGCUCUUAAUGGCUAACCCAGCUCUCCUGUCCCUCUAAAAAUAUUUUUUGCACAUACACAAAAUAACUACAAAAAUCUGAUAUCUAGGGCUGGAGAGAUGGCUCAGUGGUUAAAGAAGAGCACUGACUGCUCUUCCAGAGGUCCUGAGUUCAAUUCCCAGCAGCCACAUGGUGGCUCACAACCAUCUGUAAUGGGAUCUGAUGUCCUCUUCUGGUGUGCCUGAGGAGAGCAAUGGCACACUCAUAUACAAUAAAUAAAUAAAGCUUAAGAAAAAGAAAGAAGGGAGGGAGGGAAGAAGGGAGGGAGGGAGGGAUAAUAUGGGCAAGUAGAGCCCCUAGAAUAGGAUACUUAUGUCUGGCUACCUUUUAGUAAUUUUAGCAUGUAUACAGGUUAUCUCUGUUGAAAACUAACUGGAUUUUUUGCCGUGCAUAUAUGCAUCUACUUGUGCCAUGGCACAAUAUGGUGUGCCAAAAGACAACUUGUGGGAGUCAGUGCUGUCCUCCCAAGUGAAUCCUGCAGAGUGAACUCAGGUCAUCAUGUCUUAUACUGAGUGCUUCUAACUGCUGCUGAAUCAUCUCACUGGCUGUCAAAUUAACUUUAAAAAACAAAACAAAACAGGCUGUUUAGCUUCAGCCACGGGCCUUUGUUUUCUCUUUUCCCGUUACCAGGGUAUAUUUCUGCUGCUUCUUUCAAUCUAGCUGUCUGUUCAGUCAAUGGCAGACAAUUUCUAGCAGUCCCUUAUUCUAUUAGCGCAUAAAACUGAGUAUGAGUUUGGGUCCUCAGAACCCAAGUGAAGAGUCACAUUUCCUAGCAUGUGCCAACUAUGUCAGUGAUGGACAGGAGGAUCCCAGACAACUGGCCUACCAGCCAGCCUCCCACAAUUACUGAGAUAAGCGGCAGGCUAAAGACACCCAACGCUGACCUCUGGUCUCCAGGACACGCACCUGCACACCACUGUGAAAACGUCUAAAGUUGGAACACACCCUCUGCUGCUUGUACAAGAAAGAUGCUCGCACCCUGUCCUCACCCAUGGCCUAUCACAUUUCACAGAGAACCUCGUCUCUAAAAGCUCUGUGAAUGUAAAGAGCAGAGCAGCUUUAAGGAUGGGAUGUAAAGAGUCACUCACAGGGUAUGGUGUAUUACUCAAAGCUACCUUAGAAAACAAGCUUUGAAAAGAAAACCAAGUUGCCUGAGCCUGUUCACACUGUCCCUUCUAGGCAGGCUGUGUGCACGCUCGGGGACUGGGAGGUCACAAUCAGGGGUAACUGAAACCUUCCUGAGAGCAAGCCAGGAGCAUGGAGUUUAUUGCACCAUUUUCUGUUCCUGCUUGCUAUCUCCACAAACUCCUCUUUGAUUACAGAUUAUGUCUUUCCAAAAGGACUAUGUGGCAGCAAACUGCUGACAAAGGACUGACGGCCAUCCUCUUCACGUCAGCCUGUUUAGCACUUCCAUGCCUGCACAUGCUGUCCUUACAAACCACCAGUUACCUAACAGCUAAGGGUAUUAUCACAACUGGAUUGAACUAAUCUUUGAAUAUAUGCUCCAAAAAUUAAAUUUCUUUAUAGUUUUCUACCUUUAAACCUAAAGGCAGGCAACACAAAAACUGAAUGCCAUCCACAGGGCCCUCACGACUGCCAUGAAAUGUCACUUACAUGACAGAGUUCACAUCCAAUUACUGAACACAAGCAGCCAGACCAUCUAUCACUUACAUUAAAACAAGCAGAGCACAGCAGCAAGGCUGUUGGAAGCCAUCACAUGGUUUAAAUGGAUUUCUCACCUUUCAAAUAUCAAGGGGUUCUCUCUCCCAGAACAGCUCACCACAGGGUUGGCCUUUUAACAAAGAGAGCUUCCCAAGUUGAAAGAACAUUCAGCAGAUAGGACACACAGCAAAGCCCAUUUCAAAGCAAGAGACAUCUGCCCCUUGUGUUAAAAUACAAAACAGUAAAGGAUCUUUUAUAUUAAAAAUAAUAAAUACACGUAAAAGGAGAGUCUUUUUCCAAGAAGUCAAGUAUCAGCCCUGAAAAAGUCCCUGCCUUUGGUAAGUGCCCACAAUUUAAAGGAAUAGUCUAGAAUCUAUUCAUUUCCUAAUUCUUGAGAAUAAAGAAACCUAUCUUAGGCCCCUUGCUUGGAGCCCCCAAUCAAAGCACCACGAAGCACAGAGCUGCUACUCAUGCAUGACCCAGGAUUAGCAGCCGAAGCAGCCCCGGAGCCACACAAUGCACAGCCGCACUGUCCACCUACUAGUGUCUCACACGGAUCCCAGACACAGGUCAAGACCAGUACCCUGACCCUCUGUGUCCUUCCUUUCCCAAAAGAAAGCACUAAGAGCCAGCUCCGGUAAUUAAUACACAGAACAAUCACGGCUAACAUGGGAAGCACUCAUAUUCUAUAAAGUAAGGGGAGAAACAACCAGGAGAGAAGGCCAAGAAGUCACUGUCUAGCCCCAGGGUCCAUGUCAAAAAAAGCUGUCAAAUUCUACGUGGCAGUGAGAAAUUGCUGGACGUACAAUAAACAGUGCCCCCAAAACUGGGAUCUCGGUCUGGAGAGAUGGCUCGGCGGUUAAGAGCACUGACUGCUCUUCCAGAGGUCCUGACUUCAAUUCCCAGCAACCACAUGGUGGCUCACAACCAUCUGUAAUGAGAUCCGAUGCCCUCUUCUGGUGUGUCUGAAGAGAGUGACAGUGUACUCACAUGCAUAAAAUAAAUAAAUAAAUCUUAAAAAAAAAAAAGCAAAAACAAACAAACUGGGAUCUCAUGGCACAGGAGAGGGCAGCACCUGGCAGGUAGCUGCAUUUCAAAUCAAGCUCUAAAAAGGAGGCUCCUAGUUUCUCUGCCUGUCCUGAAGGAUGUGUGGAAGGAGACACUAUACAAUGUCUCCACAGUUGGAGGCUUCUAACUCAGGGUCUUUAUGAUGCAGUACUGUCCUCUAGCCUGAACCACAAGAGGGCCCUGUCCCUAAAGAAGCCCAAGACCCAGAGGGUGACAGAAGCAGCCUUUUUGGUUCCAGCUAUUCCUCGUGCCAAAACAAAGUCUUGCCUUGGCAAGUUAAUAGUAUUUUGUAUGGUACUGCCUAUAUUAGAAAGUAUCAUGUCCUAGUAUUAUAAUACUUGGUACAUUUACAUAAAACAAGUAAGACUUAUCCAACACAUACACCUUAGACUGCUGGGAUAUUUACAAUGGACUAUCACAUACUUGAAAACUGAAAUUUCAAGCGCUACUGUUUGAUGGAAUAUUACAUCAGACGAAUAUAUUUAAGGGAAAGAAAAAUAUGUUUUCUCAAAUAUCCACUGGCACAGCUACUCCCUUGGCUCAAUGUAAUAUUCCCUCGAAAGUUAUCCUACUUAAGCUUUGCUGUUUUGCUCUGUAACAAUCAGGAAACUUAAAACUUUACAUAAACCUGCUGCCAUGGGUCAGCACUGGUCAUGGCGUAGUCCCAUAACCAGUCUUAUACUAUCCUGGAUAUCUAUUUAAGAAAACAGGGGCCUAAAGAGAUGACUCAGCGGUUAAGAGCACUGACGGCUCUUCCACACAUCCUGAGUUCAAGUCCCAGCAAUCACAUAGUGGCUCACAACCACGUGUAAUGGGAUCUGAUGUCCUCUUCCGGUGUGUCUGAAGACAGCUACAGUGUACUUACAUACAUACGAUAAAUAAAUAAAUCUGUGGAAGAAAAAAGAAACAAAGAAAAGAGGACUAGGAAAAAAGGCCCCUUGUAUGAAGCCAAAUCUGACAGGAAGCAGCGUGUGUUAUCUGACCUGGUCUGAGCUGGGCUGGUACUUGGGGAACUCAAGGAGUAAAGGAGAGCUAUGGAGUGAGACAAAAUGUCCCUUUGUGUGGCUCUGCCUCGUGUUUCCUACCUAGGUCUCCUCUGACGGUUUUAUGCGCGAAUGCUGGCAGCCAUGAGAGAGAGAUAGUUUGUAAGAUUUAGGAAUUCGUAUUUGUGGUCCUGGGGGUAAAUAAAAAGGCAUUUCAACAAAAACUAACACACCAGGUAUAUUGAGAGGAUGGCUCUAGGGACAGCAUAGUUUGUAGACAUUCCUCAUAUAAAAAUAGAUCAAUAGUAAGUCAAAAUAAACGCCUGCUGACAGCACAACUAAAUGAACUCAGAUGUUUACAUGAACUCUGCACAUAAGCAAGGACAGGAUAAAUUCCCAUCAACCAUCAUGCCUGGGAGGAAAUGAAAACUAGCACUGGGGAAUGUGACAGCUAAGGAAGAUCCCAACAGGCAAAGCAGUGUAACCGUGUGUUGAAGGGAGGGAAGGUUGGUCCAGGCAGACAGGUUAGACGAAGUAAGGCUAAAUAAAGGAGCAGAAAGAGUCUGGUCAGUUAUGGGCUCUAACAGCAGCCUGCAACACACCCCUGUCAGCACCAGGCCCCACUGCAGGGGAAAAGCUGUAAGUAUAGAAAGAAAUUUCAACAACAGGAAAAACAGAAUUUAAAAAAAGGCUCCAGUAAAAGUCAAGGAUGAAAGAAUUGAAAAUCAGAGUCAAGACAGCACUUUCGUUACUGCUGUUUUGUGGUUUGAUGGAGACGGUGGUUUUAGUUUUGAGGCAAAGGGUUUUCUGUGUAGUCCUGGAUGUCCUUGAACUCACUCUGCACACCAGGCUGGCCUCAAAAUUAGAAAAUCUUCCAGCCUCUGCAUUUGCCUCUACGAUUAAAGGAGUGUGCUACAACUUCCCGGCUUUGUUUAUUUGUUUGUUUUAAGCAACAAUACAACAACAAAGGAAAGUUCUGAAAUUAAAAGGAAAUAAUAUUACUCAACCACAUCGGUCAAAAAAUUUAGGAAAAUUAAAUUCACUAAAAAAGGAGCAAGAGAAAUCUAAUGUUACAGAGCAGAGUUUUAUAAGCUCAGCUACGGGGGAGUGCGAUUGUUUCCCAAAAUAACCUAAAAUCAGUAACUAAAAUAAAAAGUAGAAUAAUACCUAUGCUGCUGAAGAAAGCAAGGGGAAACGUAUAUGCAUGCAGACAUCCUAAGAGAAGCAAACUGUAUCAAAACAAAGAUACUGUCAAAUAGAUGGCUCAAAGAAUAAAGAGUCUACAUCAGAAAUGAAGAAAAAAAAAUCACCUAGAAAUGAAAAAGCCAGAAACAAGAACCGAACAAACAGAAGAUGAAAAAGGUUAAAGAGAAAAAGGAAAGUUCGCUGACCUCUGUUAUGCUGUCCUCUGGCUCUCAUCUGCAUUGCCUUGGCACAGGGCCACAUGCACAAACACACACAAACAAUAGUAACAACUUUUGUUACUAACACAGGACACAAAGCAGUCAGAUAUGAUGGUGUAAUCCUAUAACCCUAGCAUUGAGGAUAAUAAAGGGAAUUCAGUUGGACACCAUCUUAUUUACACUGUACCGUCCCCAUCAAAGUGCUCUGGUGAAUGCUGAGUACUUUUGCAUCACUAUAAUCCCUGUACGGUCAGGAAGAUCAGAAGUUCAUGAUCAUUCUCAAAUCCUCUCUACUAACAUCAUCAAGUGUAAGAAAACGAAAUCAUCACUGGACUUUGACAGUAGUGUUCUGCACUAAUGAAAACACAGUUUGUAGGGUCAGGUGUGCACCACCACAACUGGCUGAACCUCUUAUUUUACAGCUCUAAGAUUUGUGAGCUAGUACCAACAUUAGUAAUUAUUACUCUAUAAUAUUCUGUAGGAAAUGAGAUAAAGACAAUCAUUAUGACAUGUUCUAACUCUGACACCGGUGUCCUGGGAACCAAGAGAGCACAGGUGGACUCCAGCUGACAUAGGUACAAGCUCUGCCUGUCAUCCUGGCCUGGAGUGAGGGGUAUAGUAUCAUCAGGACUGCAGUGCAGUGCACCUGACUAGUCUGCCCUUCAAGUUACAGACGCAUGCUCACACCAUUCAGUAUAAAUCAAAAGGUCUAGAAAUUAAAAAAAUAUAUAUCCAACAGCAAUAAAACACAAACUGGAUAAUGCUUUUGAAAUAUCAUUUCCCAGUAAAAGAAACUAGAAAAUGUCGUGGAAGGGUAGUUUUUGGUUCUGCAGUAGGCAUGUGCAAGGAUGGAAUACCUUCACAUAUAGUCGAGAAAAUCUAUCAAACUCCAAGGUCAAAUAAAAAAAGACUCAGGAGCUAACCCCAAGAAGGCCCCACUAACUAUGACGGGUCAACCUGGCUUCCCUAAAGAUUAAUGAUUCCAAGUAUUAACAGGAAUCCACCAGUCUUAGUAUCAGAGUACUAAGGUAGCAUCUGGAAAGCAGAUAAUAAAGGGGAGAGACAGUCCUCACACAGGGUGGGCCUGGGUUAAGCAAUGGCGGUGGCAGGAGCACUGGCUGCCUCAGAUCCUCUCCAGCCAAUGAACGAGACUGAAACAGACUCUCGUAACCCUGUAACUUCUAAGGAUUCAGUGGACAGAAAUACAAUAAAAUCAGUAUUAUGUGGCUCCUGAGGAACAUACAGUGUAGUAAUGAGGACGUGUGAAUGAGAUCAGCUACACAGGCUCGCAGGUCCGAAUGCUUGGUCACCAGAGUGGCACUAUAAGAAGUGUGGCCUUGUUGGGGGAGGUGUCACUCACCUCUGCCUGCUGCCUGUGAGCACAGAUGCAGACUCUCAGCUACCUCUCCAGCACCACGUCUGCCCUGAGUGCUCACAUGCUGCCCACCAUGGCCACAACCGAUCAAACCUCUGAAACCGGAGUUUAUAAGAGCUGACGUGGUCAUGGUGUCUCUUCAGAGCAAUAGAACACUGACUAAGACAACUAACUAUAAUUCUGCUUAGAUAGAUCAAAUCUAAGACUAUCUUAUAAUUGGAUCCAGCUACCAGCAUAAAGGAAAUGCAGAGGGUGGAGGCACAAUGCAAAUAGUAAAACUCGGGUGGCCAAACCCCUUGAUGAUCAAUAACAAGUAGGGAAAGACCUGACGGAUUAUAUGUAACAGACUUGGACCACUUAUCAUUGACCAAAAAACCUGUUGCCUAGAAAGCCACAUUCAAAAAUGAGACAUUAAAAAAAAAAAGGACUAGACUACACCGGGGUGUUGGUAAUUCUGUAGGGAAAGAAAGGACUGUUACCACAAGGGAACAGGCAGCCAGUAAAGGCCUGAAACAGUUGAUUCACGAACUACACAAAUGAUCUACCUGUGUGUUUGCAUCUCUGUGAGCAAAAAGAAAUUUAGAAAAUAUAAAAAGAUAAACAGAAGCAAGCACUGACCCUACACUUCACCUGAAAAUCUGCUUCUGAGAAGCAUCAGCUAGGGCUCUGCUAGCCAGAGAAUGCAGGAAAGGGGGCAGACACCUACAUCAGCAGUUCCACCAGGGCAAAGGCAAGCUUCCCACCCGACCCUUGCUUCACUGUGGUUUUGUUUUUAUUUUAGAGACAUUAUCUCACAAUGUAGCCUAGGCUGGCAUUAAACUCUUGGUCCUCCUACUCUCCUAGGGGCUGGAGUUUCAAGCAUGAGCCACUAUAACCAGUACCACUUCAUUCUCAUGAGCCCAUCUUUAAAAUCACCACCAACGAUUUCCACCCUAUAUACAUUUCAUGAAAGAUCACAAGAGGUUCAUCUUAGUUUCAAAUCUCUUUAAAGUCAUCUUUUCACAUACUACCUGCAUGAAAAUAACUUAUGUUAGCUCAUGAGAAUAAACUGUAAUGCAGCUCAAAAUUAAAUGUUUAGUUCUAAGUCAUUAAAAUAAACAGACAUAUAAAAUCUGAUGAAAAUGUUCAUUUCUGGGCUGGAGAGAUGGCUCAGCAGUGAAUAGCACUGACUGCUCUUCCAAAGGUCCAGAGUUCAAAUCCCAGCAACCACAAGGUGGCUCACAACUAUCUGUAAUGGGAUCUGAUGCCCUCUUCUGGUGUGUCUGAAGACAGCAACAGUGUACUCACAUACAUUAAAUAAUUCUAAAAAAGAAAAGAAAAUACCUAUUUCUAUAAACUAUACCACAGUCUCUUACGCAACUUUAGUCUGCUCUCUGCACUUUCUGUAUGGUUUUCACGUGAAAUAAAUCUCUAAUAAUUCCCAGGGCCAUUACUAUUUGGGUGGAGGUCCAUGUUUAGGGGAUCUGGUUCUGAAUGCUGUAAUCAAAGUGCCAGUUCCCUACACAGUUCUCCUUUUCCCAGUAACAGAUCUUCUACCGUACUGGGGAAGAGCCAAACUCAACAUCCAAGCAGCCCAGUGUUGGUCAAGCUAUCAAAAGGCUCUGCCCUGUGUCUCCCUGCCUGUGGACAGCCAGUGACUAUGAGUCCACUGCAGAGCCAUAUGUUUACAAAGUACAAUUAAAACCCUGAAGGAGUAUCAAACCACUUCAACAGUUUCUAUCACCCACUCUCCAUCUCUGCAUUUAUCUCACAGAGGAUUGGUGAUGGUGCAAUCUGUGUGCCACAUCUGAGUCAUAGUAGCCUCAGGGAUUGGGUGUGCUGCAUAUACAGCCUCAGUAGCCAUUUGUGACCACAAUGAGACCUCCUCGCUGAAGACCAGAGUAGGGAGCAGAAGCCUCUCCACGGAGGCUCACCUUAUCUUAUGGAACAACAGACAAUAACGCUAAAAACCACGCUUACAUUAUUUGUCACUGUGAAGUUUCCAAAACACAGCAUCACAGAGCUUUCUUUCCACAUGAGAAUAAUCCUGAGAAGUAAGCAGGGUGAGUGGUAUCUCCACUUGACAGCUAUGAAAACCAGUUCCCUAACAGAUGAGACAGCUUGUCUCAGUAGCACAGCUAACCGUUUAGAAUUAGGAAAAAAGAAGCCAGCUGGGUCCCCUUUCCAUGAACAAUCUAGUUCUCAGUGAAUUGAAAUUACCUCAUCAUGAUCAUAUAUAAAACACAAUGCAAGCUAGAGAUGGGAACUCAUAAUGACACGAGUCUAUACACCACUGGGUAGAAAGAUCAACAGAACACCACAGUCAGCUGGGGAAGCCAAAAUGACAUUGAAUGGCUACACUGAGAGUUUGCCACUUUUUGUAAGGCCAGCAAGCAUUUUUAAAAAGGAAAUGGGAAGACAGAAACUGCAGGUGAUUUUUUAUUUUAUUUAUUUGUUUCCUAGAGGGGGCCUUCUAUUACCCAGGCUGGCCUCAAAUCCUAGGGCUCUGAUCCUCUUGCCAAGUCUCUCAGAAGCUGGGAACAGAGUGGCAAUGAGGCACACAGGGUUUAGGCUCAAAACAAUGUAGCCAGCAAUGCAGUGACUGAAUUAAAAAUGAGUAACACUGAAAACAAACAAACAAAAAAAACCCAAAAUCUCAAAUACUACCCUGGUUCUAGAUAAAUCUGUCAAGUAGUAGUAUUUCUUAAAAACUGGAAAAUUUUGUCAUGGCUAAUUAUAAUCUAUUGUGUUUCAAUAUAAACAAGAGAUUUCUAAAAAAAUAAUAAUAAUAAAAAGAGUCUCAAUGACCACCAUCGAUUAGAUUACUGAACAUUCUAUGCCAUUAAGUUAUUUACUACUAGAGUCAUCCUCACUUCCCCGAGAAACAAAGACAAAUUAUUAAAUAGCAGUCUAGUUAAAAAGAAAAGUCAUCUACAAUGGUGGACUACUUUAAGCAAUCUCCCUCACCUAAAUGGGUGUCAGACAUUCCAUGUGACAAAAAGGACUACGGUAUUUCUCAAAUCAGUUACUGUUUGCGAGAUUCGGGAUUAAACAGAAAGGCACUCUUUUCAUUACAUAAAUAUUUCCACUACAAUAAAUACUUUGUUAGAACAUUAAAAAACAAGGGAACUACCUUUAUUAAUAUAUUACACUUUGCAUAUUAAACCUUUCAUAUUUCCCUAUUUUUAAGCUAAUUAACAAGAAAAAAAGCCGACAGCACACACUAAACUCCUCCAAGGAAUAAAAGCUAUUGUUUCAAAAACUCUCCCAGGGUCGCUGACAAUGGUUUCUUGCAAGGAUCAUCUCACCUAUCUGCUUUUGAUUACUUUAUGAAGUAAUCAAAAGGAAAGGGGUUAGAGAGAGAGACAUGAGUGUAGGUGUAGGUGCAGCAUUCAAACUCAGCAGCUCAGAACAAUAUAGGAAAGAAUCAAACCACUUCUCCACUAACUGUGCAAACCACAACACAAUCCUUACAGCAGCACGAGCAAUAGGAAAUAGCAAUGAGGUAGGACGCAAACUCCAGGAAAUCAUCAAGUUUCUAUUAGCUCAGUGGCCUGUAGACAAGGGUCCCAGCUCCUCCUGGGCAUCUGCCAAUUUUCCCAGUACCUUCUGGAUAAAGACACACAGUUGAGCAUAAGUGUAGGGAACACCUGACAAAAGCAAACAGCUACCACAGGGAAGACAAAACAAAACACUUACUAUCUGACAGAAAAACCUGCCAGGCCUGUGUAUAAAAAGCAUCUGUCUGUCCUAGAAAGAAACCUCAGUGGUUUAGAACAUGGCUUCUCUUCUAGGGGACUGGGUCCGGGUCCUAAGACCUUUUACUGGCUUACAACCUUAUCUAACUUCAGUUGCAGGGAAGCCAACACUCAGAAACACAUAUGGUGCACAGAUAUAACACAGAGACAAAUCAACCAUGUAUAUAAAAUAAUGACUUUAAAAAAAAUGUUAAAGCAGGCUAAGUAAAACACUGCACGAGUUUAGCCCCAACCUUGGUAAAGUGACUUGGGAUUAGAAGUUCAAAGGCAGCCUGUGUUGUAUUGUGAAAUUUUGAUUCCAAAAAGGGAGAAAGAGGGGCUAAAAAGAUAGCAGCCUUUAGGACCACUGGCUGUUCUUACAAAGCAUCCAGGUUCAAUUCCCAGCAUCCACAGGAUGGCUCACAACCAUCUUUAAUUCCAGCUUCUCUGACUUCUCUGACCAGGUACUCACAUGGUACAUAAGCAUACAUGCAAGCAAAAACAUAUAAAUAUUUUAAAAAUCAAUCUUUAAGAGAAUAAAGCAUCUAUCAAGAGGUAAUGUGUAAUCAUUCCUGGACAACUACACAAAACAUGGCAGUUCUCUCUAGAGGGGCAGGAAGCACCUGCAUGUAGGAAUACAGCUACACUUCUGUAGACUGUAGACUGGCCUAGAAAAAACUGACCCAGGUACAAAAGCUCCUCAGUCAGUAUGUCAGAUGCAAGUCAAUAUGACAAAACCUAGAGAACUGAACGGGCCUGUCCCUCUCUUUGAGGGAACCAGGAAGACUUGUGAUUUAGCUGGUUCAGCAAUAGAGUAGAGUACUUGCCCAGCCCACACAGGAUCCUGGGCUCAGUCCCCAGGAAGAAACCCAGUGGGAGUAAGGGAAGGAAUUCCCCUUAGAGAGCUGAGUCCAGGUGACACACCAUGGAAGCAGUGCAGACACUCAAUGCUGGCAGUGUUCAAGUGCACUCAGGACCACAGCGGAAACUGCAAUUUCAGCAACCUCUGCAGCCCUACAGACCACGAGCAUUACUGGACAAGGCAUGAGUCCCUAAAGGGGAGAGUGAGCUGAGAUUCACCUCCUACUACUCCUAGCAGUAAUUAAAACCAUUAAAUGAACCAUUUAAUUCAUAAUGAGGUACACUUUUAAUCUGACACUGCAAUUCUGAAAAACAAUUGCUUACUUUUAAAAAACUUGUUUACCCAGAUCUCUGACAUUAUAACUCAAACAAGAAGUCAAUGAAAUGAAAAAUAUUCCAGGUCCUCUUCUACAAAACUCAACUUCUUGCUCUGACACCAUGAAGGGAAUCCUAUUUCCUUAGGCGCGAGCAGAGGAAGUGCCACUUCAUCCAAGUAGUAAAUAGAUGGAUGCCUGGCUGAGCAAGUGCCUUGCUCUCAGUCCUCUGUAAAUGUGAGUGGGUGAUGUGUCUACCCAGUUAAAAUAAUAGUCUAAAAAAGCAGGUUGGAUAUUUUAAAUGUACACUCUAAAUUACUAAGAUAGGAUAUACAGGGGCCAGUCUGCUGCAUUCCUCCACCUGCAUUGACUGACUCCACCAACCAAAACACACCCACAUUCUAAAGCCAGGCUGGCAGAGAAAACAACUAACCUGCAGUGGGGGUGGACCAUGUGGACAGACAGCACACAAGAGACAACAAGACACUUCUCUACCCACCAUAGCAAUAGACAGACCCAUCGGGCAUCCCCAACCUUCCAGUGUGAGGCAGCAUAGGACACUGGCUAGGUAUGAGCCUGGCAAGGUUACAAGUUACACUGUUCACAUAAAGCCAACUAAGGUCACCUUGUCCAGGGAAGCCUCAGAUCCCCCAUACACCACGGCCUCCCUGCGGUGCUGCACAUUCCAGACAAGAUGCCAUGCACACAGGCCACUGCCCCUGCUCUGGAUAUGCGCAUUUCAAUGCUUUCUUUCUCUUUCUGCUCUUCCUUGUGCAUCUACCUUCCCACUCAGCCAGCUCCUACAUAGAGCAGAGAAAAGACUUUAAACUCUGAGCAGUUAUCGUAGGUAGCCACCUCUUGCUUUUUGCUCUGUCUGCACUGGCCUUGGCCUUGAGUCCUGUUUCUGCUGGAAAUGUCUCUAACUCAGCAUUGCCCUUGGAGGGUUAAAACAAAAAACACCUUCUUUUGGCAACAAUGGUACCUCCACCAAAAACUAUGACCAUUACAAUACUACCAUUUUGAAAACAUUGAAGCCAUUUGAUUUCCCUUUACAGAGAAAGGAUUCUAAGUUCCCUCAGGAGAUGCAGUGGCCAAGCACACUUGUGCAAGCUUCUGCUCUUCAGAAGCCCCUGGCUUCUUACUUAUUACAGCAUUGCUCUUUAGUCCCCAGGCCAGGCCUUGAACUUACAGUCGUUCUGCCUUAGCCUUUAAGCAGCUGCUAACACAAGCCUGUACCACCCGUCUAGCCAGCCUGGCUUUCUCCUUAAUUUACAUCAUGAGGCAAGAAUUUAUAACUUAAACAGCAUUGCAGGGUAAUGAAAUAUGUCCAGUGUGUGUGGUGCUUGCAAAGGCUAUCACUGAAAUAAUUUGUCAGCAAGGCAAGAGCUGAAAAGAACAGAAGACAAAGAUAAGCAAGGGGUGGGCUAGUUAAGGAAUACACAGAGACAUAUGGACAAAAGGAAAUCACAAACCUGUUCAAGAGCACAGUGAAGCGGAAGGGAACUGUCCAAAAGGGAUUCUCCAGCUGAUUUUAAUACAAAGCGCCUCAAAAAUCCCCUUCUCCCAUGGACGGAUCACCAGCCCAGACAAAUCCCAGGAAAUGAAACGCUAGGAGGGCCACUUACUAACAGCGCAGCCCGGAGUCUGCAUUGAUUUCUGUUCUCAGCAGAGGGAGGAUGUUUGAUCUUCAGCCUCACAGCUCAGUGAAAACAUCAAGAAUUUAAGCACAGCACCUUCCUGACACAUGAUUUCUCAACAAAAGUAGUCUAGAAUUCUCUGCCAUUUGUCAUCCCUCUCUAUAGACUCCUUGGCCUCCUGCAUUGCGUCUUCUUACUUGAGCUACUGUAACCAUAAUAAUGUUUCAAUUUCUACAGAUUAAAUAGUCAAGGAUCACCUGUUCCUAUGUCUCUUAUAAAUGAUUCAAUUAUGCACUCCGUACAUUCCCAGCUAUUUGGGUUUUGUUUGUUUGUUUGUUUGUUUGUUUGUGGUUUUUUGUUGUUGUUGUUUUUCAAGACAGGGUUUGUCUGUGUACAACCCUGGCUGUCCUGGAACUCACUCUGUAGACCAGGCUGGCCUCGAACUCAGAAGUCCACGUGCCUCUGCCUCCCGAGUGCUGGGGUUAAAGGCGUGCGUGUGCCCCCACGCCCAGUCCCAGCUACUUGCUGACACGUGUGUGCACAUUGAGACUUGCUGACACGUGUGUACACAUUGAGACUGACCAUCAAAAUGGAAACAAGUCACGGCACCAGAUAAAGCAAACCCAAAGCCUUAUUCAAUUGUGCAAAACAAAACACGGUGCUUUCUUUAUUGUACCUUAUAAGUGGGACAGACGCUCGACUCAAUUUCUCAGCAACCAAAAUUAUAAACAUAAAGUGCAAGUCUCUCCCAACCCAGCCAGGAGACAGUAUGAAGCAACCAAGUCACCCACCUCCUGUCAGGGACAACCAAUGCUCAAUAUCUGAGGUGGGCCAAGGAACUGCUGUCACUAUAUAAAGUGAAUUUUAAAUUAUAAACAUUCAACAAAUUAAUAUUUUGGAGUGAUCAACUCAAUAAAGUUCAGAGCUAUUAAGAAUUUGACUAUAAGCUGGGCACUGGUGGUAUACACCUUUAAUCUUAGCACUCAGGAGGCAGAGGCAGGUGGAUCUCUGAGUUCGAGGCCAGCCUGCUCUAUAAAUCAAGUUCCAGGACAGACAGGGCUCCACUGGGAAACCCUGUCUUGAAAAGCAAAACAAACAAGCAAACAAGAGAUUAUAGUUUGGCAUACUGGCACACAUCUUUUAUUCCCAGCACUCAGGAGGCAGGCAGAGACAGAUGGAUCUCUGUGAGUUUGAGGCCAGCCUGGUUUAUACAGUGAGUUCUACGACAGCCAGAGCAACAUAGUGAGACCUUAUCUCAAUUAAAAAACAAAGAAAGAAACAUACAGGAAACUGACUAUAAAUAAACCUUACACAGCUGAGCUUAGUGGUACAAGCCUUUGAUCCCAGUACUUGGGAGGGAAAGGCAGCAGAUCUCUGUGAAUUUGAGGCUAGCCUGGCUUAUACAGUUGGGAGGGGGAGGUUGGAGAAUAAAAGCUUACAUGCAGUAGCAGGCAAAUGCUAGCCAGUGGAGCUGACCAUGCAGCAGCACACUGCCAGGCAAAGGCCAAAUCACUUCAUACAAAUAACACAGUCACAGUGGUAAAAAUAAAGAGCAACAGAGCCCAGCGUGGGGGCAGUGUCGUUGGCACAGGACAUGGACGUGCUCCCAACAGCUUGAGCUAAAGCCAUCCAGUUAUCACAGGCAACUAUUUACUUCAGAAAUAAAUACCAGCCUACCCUAACUGAAUUAAUGUUGGUUCUGAGGGUUCUUUUAAUUUUGAAGUUUGAUUUGAAAUUAACUUAUAAAUUGCCCUUCACAGUAAGCACAAAGAUUACACUUACUUUAAAUGUUGGGGAAGUCAGUAGAAGCAAACCAGCAAUUCUUGAGGCAGGACUGGGAGAGACUUAGAACCAGGGCCUGACCUGUUCGGCAAGCCCCCUAUUACAGAAUUUAUACCCGCAGCCCUCUCGGAACAAUGGUUUUCUCCUACCUAUGAUAUGUUCAUGGUUGUACUUCACUCAGUCGGCUGGUUAUCAACCCACAUUCCCAGAAUCUUUUGGGGCGCUCUGAGGCUGACUCUAUGACUACUGAAUUCUUCACCAUCACCAUCAUCAUCAUCACCACCAUCAUCACCAUCAUCACCAUCACCACCAUCACCAUCAUCACAGCUGCUGCUGCAGUUUCACAAGUGAACAAACUGAGGCUCAAGGAAAUGAAGUCUGUGAUUACAGAACAAAGCACUUCCAGCAAGACUGAGUCGAUACUACAGUAUCAAGAGUGAAAGGUAUGAUUUAACUGCUAUGGGGGAAUCAUUUCUAAUGAAAACCACAAGUAACCCCCACCCCAUGGCUCCCACCAGAGAGCACUAAGAUGCAGCAGCUGAGCAGAGGACAAGGCACGGAUGGCAAGCAGGACUGAAGAAGGAUUCUGGGGAGGAUCGACCCCACAGAGGAAGAGGGGCCCAGAACCCAGCACAGCAAGGUAAGAAAGGAGAAGAUGAGGUCAAAGAAUCAGGCUCUUUUCUGCAUCUCAGAGCUGCAAACUGAGCUUUACCGUCCAUAAACCUGCAAGAAAACAGACAACUCUUCCACCACUGGCCAGAAUCCCAUUUCCUUUGUUUUUGUUUGUUGUUGUUGUUUGUUUUGUUUCCUUUGAGACAGGGUUUCUCUGUGUAGCCCUGGCUGUUCUAGAACUACCUUUGUAGACCAGGCUGGUCUGAGAUCUGCCUGCUUUUGCCUCUGGGAAUGCUGGGAUUAAAGGCGUGUAUCACCACCACCACCCUGGCCAGAGAAUCCAUUUCUAUGAAGCACAGCUCUAAAAAUGAUUCCAGAAAUCCUACUGAACUCAUUAAACAAAAAACUUAAGAAGAGUUUUUGUCACCUAUACAGCUUUGUAACCAUCAAUCAACAGAAAGCUGUCCCGAGAAAUCUCCCUCAUGACUUCCACAGGCCUUCUUUAAACACAGUCUCUAAACAGUCAAGUAAAAUUUAUUUCCAUUGCUUUGAAAAGGGGAAAGCAACAAAUUGCCAGCUUACAUUAAACAGGUAACAAAAAUAAAGGAUUAAAGUAGACUGAUCCAUAUUGCUAACAACAAAAAGUCAAUCUAAGAAAUCAACAUGAGUACCAAUAUUUAACUCUUUCCAGGCUGAGCAGGCUGUAACACACCUGAAAAGAACUAGUGCUAGAGACAAUGACCCAGACACAGCUUUAGCAGAACCACCAAAGGUCAGACAGCAAGCAGCAGGGUUAAAAGAGAUUGUUCUUAAAAAAAAAAGACUGGAGUUCAGGUCCCAGCACCCACAGUAGGCAUAUCAUCUGUAACUCAGCCUUCAGAGCCCCUGACACCCUCUGUGCACAUGUAUACACUCAUGUAUAUACACACAAAUAAAAAUAAUAUGUAACCUUUAAAAAAAAAUAAAUGGUGAGCCUGGCAUGUUGGUACGUGUGCCUCUAGUCAAAGCUAACUGGGAGUCUGAGGAAGGAGGAUGACUUGAGCUCAAGAGGUAAGCAACAGCCUGGGCAAUCCAAUGAGACCUCGUCUCAACAACAACAACAUAACCGGUGUACAGGCGCAUAUGAACCCCUGCAACCGUCAAUGCUGAUGGUCGAUCUGAAGGAUCUAGCAUCGCCUAGGACAGAGGCCUCUGGGGUAUCUGUGAGUGAAUACCUAGAUUAGGAUAACUCAAGUGAGAAGACAGCCCUGAAUGUAGGCAACAGCACUCCAUGGGCUCCAGGCCCAGAUUGCAGAAAUGGGAAAGCUGGCCGGCAUGGCAUUCACUACUCACUGCUCCCGACCAUGGAUGCUAGGAAGCCAGAUGCCUCGAGCUCCUGUCGUCAAGACUUUCCAACUACAAUGAACAACACUCUCAUGUGAGCCUUCCGUACAAUGCUUUAUUUGGAGUGUUUUCUCACAGCAACAGAUACAGUAGCCUGUCUUUUAGAACAUCCCUAAGAGGUCAAGGAAAGUAGCACGGGGUUAGUGGAAAAACAAUAACCUACCACAAAGGAGCUGUGCUGUGACCUGAGAGGCCCCUCACUGAACAGGGGACUGAAAACCCCCACUCUGCUGCUGUGCAUCAGUUUCUUGCUGCAUAUGCAGAGAAAGCUAAACUACAGUGCAAUGAAUGUUCUCCUAUAAAAUUACAUAACGAAAGUAGAUAUUAGCAAAGAUGUCUGGUGCAUCAUGAGAAGGAACACUGACCACUUUGUCUGCAACCCUGUGAUCAAUUUUCUCUCUUAGCAGCUCUCUCAUUACACUAUACUAGAUCUGUGUGCCGGCAAAAUUUAUAGGGGCUCCACAUGAGGAUGGGGGUCUACCAACUGGAUCCAGCAAGAAUGACUUUGGCAGCACAAAACACCAUUAAAGAACAAUCAAUACAAUUAGCCUUAUGCAGCAGCAUCUGACUAAGAAAGAACGAUCAUCAUGUUAUUGACUCUUCUCCAAUCUCCACUGAUAAAGUCAUCCAAGGACUCCACUAAUAAUGCAUUUAUUUAAAUCCUCAGUGGAUGCAGAGAAAUGGCAAUACUGAUCAUCACUAAGGCUAAUAUAGAAAGUUUACUAAAACUCAGUGUAAAACGGGCAGAUUUAAAAUCCAUUCAGCAUAUCCUGAUGAGAACCACAGUAAAUAAAAGUGUCUAAUAACGUCACAUUGACUAGAACAAAUA